rnacentral:rRNA from 1 species
UACGGAGGGUGCAAGCGUUAUCCGGAUUCACUGGGUUUAAAGGGUGCGUAGGAGGGCAGGUAAGUCAGUGGUGAAAUCUUCGAGCUUAACUCGGAAACUGCCGUUGAUACUAUCUGUCUUGAAUCCCGUGGAGGUGAGCGGAAUAUGUCAUGUAGCGGGUGAAAUGCUUAGAUAUGACAUAGAACACCGAUUGCGAAAGGCAGCUCGCUACACGAAGAUUGACUCUGAGGCACGAAAGCGUGGGGAUCAAACAGG